rnacentral:rRNA from 1 species
AACCUUUACACUGCACGACAGUGCGAUAAGGGAAUCCCAAGUGCGUAGGCAUAGAGCCUACGCUUUUGUCCACCGUAGGGAGGUGGACGAAUAAGGGCUGGGCAAGACCGGUGCCAGCCGCCGCGGUAAUACCGGCAGCCCGAGUGAUGGCCGAUCUUAUUGGGCCUAAAGCGUCCGUAGCUGGCCGCGCAAGUCUAUCGGAAAAUCCACCCGCUCAACGGGUGGGCGUCCGGUAGAAACUGCGUGGCUUGGGACCGGAAGGCGCGACGGGUACGUCCGGGGUAGGAGUGAAAUCCCGUAAUCCUGGACGGACCGCCGAUGGCGAAAGCACGUCGCGAAGACGGAUCCGACAGUGAGGGACGAAAGCUAGGGUCUCGAACCGGAUUAGAUACCCGGGUAGUCCUAGCCGUAAACAAUGCCUGCUAGGUGUGGCUCCCACUACGAGUGGGUGCUGUGCCGUAGGGAAGCCGCUAAACAGGCCGCCUGGGAAGUACGUCUGCAAGGAUGAAACUUAA